GACGAACGCUGGCGGCGUGCUUAACACAUGCAAGUCGAACGGUAAGGCCCUUCGGGGUACACGAGUGGCGAACGGGUGAGUAACACGUGGGUGAUCUGCCCUGCACUUCGGGAUAAGCCUGGGAAACUGGGUCUAAUACCGGACAGGACUCCUGGCUUCAUGGUUGGGGGUGGAAAGCUUUUGCGGUGUGGGAUGGGCCCGCGGCCUAUCAGCUUGUUGGUGGGGUCAUGGCCUACCAAGGCGACGACGGGUAGCCGGCCUGAGAGGGUGACCGCUCACACUGGGACUGAGAUACGGCCCAGACUCCUACGGGAGCGAGCGGUGGGGAAUAUUGCACAAUGGGCGCAAGCCUGAUGCAGCGCCGCCGCGUGAGGGAUGACGGCCUUCGGGUUGUAAACCUCUUUCAGCUAUGACGAAGCGCAAGUGACGGUAGUAGCAGAAGAAGGACCGGCCAACUACGUGCCAGCAGCCGCCGUAA
rnacentral:rRNA from 1 species